AGAGAGGUGUCCGAGUGGUUGAAGGAGCACGCCUGGAAAGCGUGUAUACCCGUAAGGGUAUCGAGGGUUCGAAUCCCUUCCUCUCUG
rnacentral:tRNA from 1 species